rnacentral:rRNA from 1 species
UACAGAGGUCUCAAGCGUUGUUCGGAUUCAUUGGGCGUAAAGGGUGCGUAGGCGGCGGAGUAAGUUGGGUGUGAAAUCCCGGGGCUCAACCUCGGAAUGGCAUUCAAUACUGCUUCGCUCAAGUACUGGAGAGGAGGCUGGAAUUUACGGUGUAGCAGUGAAAUGCGUAGAUAUCGUAAGGAAGGCCGGUGGCGAAAGCGAGCCUCUGGACAGUUACUGACGCUGAUGCACGAAGGCCAGGGGAGCAAACGGG